CAUAUACAUUUUGAUGUAUUACAAUUUGGACAUAAAUUAAGAAGUAUAUCGAAAUUGUUAUGAAGUAGUAAUGAUUUACUAUGAUUUGAUACUUUGUCUACAAAUUGAAAUACAUCAGAUUUAUCCUAAAGUGUGUGACAGUCUUUACAAUGAUGACCAUAAAAGCCACAAUUAAAGCAGAUACCAUUGAAUGUCUUUGCAAUGGUUUGUCUUUUACCAUGCUGUUCAUUACUUUCAUUAUUGGACUGAGAAAUAGUUGUUUGGUUGAAAAUGUUUACAACUUUGUUUAUGUUUCUAAGUAAAAGAAUUGUACCCUGAUUAGUGAGGUGUAUUCCAUCACGGUGGUAGUAAGAAGAAACGAGAUCGCCGCCUCUGGAGACAAAUGCAUCUGUUUGUUUGAUGAUUUU
rnacentral:lncRNA from 1 species